CUUCCGCCGGCGACCGGCGCACGGGUGAGUAACACGUAUGCAACCUGCCCCUGUCAGGGGGACAACCCGCCGAAAGGCGGGCUAAACCCGCGUACAUGCCACCGGGGCAUCCCGGAGGCAGGAAAGGCUUCGGCCGGACAGGGAUGGGCAUGCGGCGCAUUAGGCAGUAGGCGGGGUAACGGCCCACCUAACCGAUGAUGCGUAGGGGUUCUGAGAGGAAGGUCCCCCACACUGGUACUGAGACACGGACCAGACUCCUACGGGAGGCAGCAG
rnacentral:rRNA from 1 species